CCAAACCCUAGCGAGGGCGCGUCGCCAUGGACUCGGCGGUGCUCUCACUCACCUGCGCUGGCCUCGGCGUGCCCAAGGAGGACGACGACGGCACAGUCAUCAACUACGCCAAAAGCGAGCACUGCCUAGAUAAUCUGAAGGAUCUGCAGAGAUUCCUGCGGCGCGAUGACCCACAGCGGCGGUAGGUUUUCAAGCAAGUCCGCAAGUGGAAGAUUGCGUCGAGAGAUCUGGUGCCCAUCAUUGAGAAUUACCAGGCCAAUCGCAAUCUGGUGAUCACUGCAGGACGGAUCUAAAUCAUUGUGCAAAGGGAACCCCAGCUCCAUAUCUGCAAAUAGCCUCCGGAAAAUACGUAAUGUUCAAAGAGGUCCACAGGAAAGGAUAGCCUGGGAUAAUGAACUUCUCUACAUACCAAAGGAUGGUAUUACAGAAAUGCUAAGAAGCUUCUUGGAUCAAUUUUAUCUGGAGGAUACAACGUCAGUUUGUGAUGAUAUCAUGAAUGAGCAUCAUUCUAUCCAGAAAUCUACUAUAACUACAUUCCUCAAAGUUGCUCGCUUUGUGUUAGCUUUUCAACAUGAGAAGGCUUCAAAUGAUCAGG